UAGUGGCGAACGGGUGAGUAACACGUGGGCAAUCUGCCCUGCACUCUGGGACAAGCCCUGGAAACGGGGUCUAAUACCGGAUAACACUACGGGCCUCAUGGUCUGUGGUUAAAAGCUCCGGCGGUGCAGGAUGAGCCCGCGGCCUAUCAGCUUGUUGGUGAGGUAAUGGCUCACCAAGGCGACGACGGGUAGCCGGCCUGAGAGGGCGACCGGCCACACUGGGACUGAGACACGGCCCAGACUCCUACGGGAGGCAGCAGUGGGGAAUAUUGCACAAUGGGCGAAAGCCUGAUGCAGCGACGCCGCGUGAGGGAUGACGGCCUUCGGGUUGUAAACCUCUUUCAGCAGGGAAGAAGCGCAAGUGACGGUACCUGCAGAAGAAGCGCCGGCUAACUACGUGCCAGCAGCCGCGGUAAUACGUAGGGCGCAAGCGUUGUCCGGAAUUAUUGGGCGUAAAGAGCUCGUAGGCGGCUUGUCACGUCGGGUGUGAAAGCCCGGGGCUUAACCCCGGGUCUGCAUUCGAUACGGGCUAGCUAGAGUGUGGUAGGGGAGAUCGGAAUUCCU
rnacentral:rRNA from 2 species